rnacentral:rRNA from 1 species
GACGAACGCUGGCGGCGUGCUUAACACAUGCAAGUCGAACGGUGAAGCGCCUUCCUUUUUGGUGGGUGUGGAUGAGUGGCGAACGGGUGAGUAACACGUGAGUAACCUGCCCCCUUCUUCUGGAUAACCGCAUGAAAGCGUGGCUAAUACGGGAUAUUCUGGGUCUGUCGCAUGAUGGGUCUGGGAAAGAUAUUGUUUCGGUGGGGGAUGGGCUCGCGGCCUAUCAGCUUGUUGGUGGGGUGAUGGCCUACCAAGGCGGUGACGGGUAGCCGGCCUGAGAGGGUGGACGGUCACACUGGGACUGAGACACGGCCCAGACUCCUACGGGAGGCAGCAGUGGGGAAUAUUGCACAAUGGGCGCAAGCCUGAUGCAGCGACGCCGCGUGAGGGAUGGAGGCCUUCGGGUUGUGAACCUCUUUCGCCAGUGAAGCAGGCCUGCCUCGUUUGUGGGUGGGUUGACGGUAGCUGGAGAAGAAGCGCCGGCUAACUACGUG